GGUCGCGGGAAGCGUUGAGGGCGGCGCUGGCGGCCCGCCGGCCCUCGGGCCGCUGCAGCGCGGCGCAGGAUGCGCGGCGUGAGUCAGCGGCAGGAGAAGAAAGGGCUGCUCUUGUGUUUGAGACCCAGAAGGGCUGUGCCCGGCGCUUGGCCGUGCUACAACCUUCUGAUGUCAUGCAGCACAAGGUUAUUAUAUGCAAAAGCUGAAUUACUGUAAUAAGGGCAAGUUUAUUUCUUACGUUUCCUAACUUUAGUGCAUAGUUUUGCAACCUCUAUUUAACAUACUGGUUUUAUAUAGAAUUAUAUUUUCCUGUUAGUUCUUUCCCAUGUAAAUAAGCUCAAGGCUUUGAAUGGGAGUUGAAAAUGUGGUUGGUGGUUCGUACCAUGCCAUGGUAGCUGCUUGCAACAGCGUCAGUCUUUUCUGUUCUGCAAGGUGCAGCUUUCCUAAAAAAGCUUUUGCUUGAUCUGGAAGUUUGCGAAAGUUAUACACAAGGAUCUUAACUCCACUUAGGAUUUUUUUUUUUUUCUGCAGUUCUCUAAUGGUCUUGGCAAAAAGUAUUAACCCCAGAUCUGAAAUCCUACAGCUACUUGCUUUAACUACUAUUUCCACAGCUGUUUGAGAUGUGCUGUAUGUUCUGUUUCUUCGAAAAUUCAUUCAAAUACAUAUACAGCUUAGUAUGCCUGUGUCUCCAUGUUUAUACCCAUCCCAGUAUUAUCAGAGGACCCCAGUGUGGAAUCAUCUGAUUACCCCCUUUACUAUCAAGCUCUUUUCUACUGCAAGUAGCAGCAGUAUCCAGGCACUGUCCUGUACUUCAGUAAUGGAAAUUUCCCAGCCUUGAAGCACACUCAGUCAGCUGCAAUAAAACUCUGAGUGAUUUCAA